CCUGACCUCGUGAUCCGCCCAUCUCGGCCUCCCAAAAUGCUGGGAUUACAGGCAUGAGCCACCAGAACCGGACAUGCUUUCCUUAAAAGCUAAAUAUUUUAGGCUUGUGUGCCAUUAGGCUCUGUUACAACUACUUAAUUCUGCUUUUGUAAUUCUAUAGCACCCAUUGAUAAUACAUAAACAAAUGAGCAUGAAUGUGUCUCAGUAAAAAUUUGUUCACAUAAACAGGCAGUCCACCCAUGAAGCUAUAGCUUGCUGACCCCUUGUUUAAACAAUCAAUUGAAUUCAAACAGAAAUAAAAGGAUCUUAUAUAUUUAACCAUGUUGAUACCAUUUCCAGUGCUUUUC
rnacentral:lncRNA from 1 species